GAUGAACGCUGGCGGCGUGCCUAAUACAUGCAAGUCGAGCGAACAGACGAGGAGCUUGCUCCUCUGACGUUAGCGGCGGACGGGUGAGUAACACGUGGAUAACCUACCUAUAAGACUGGGAUAACUUCGGGAAACCGGAGCUAAUACCGGAUCAUAUAUUGAACCGCAUGGUUCAAUAGUGAAAGACGGUUUUGCUGUCACUUAUAGAUGGAUCCGCGCCGCAUUAGCUAGUUGGUAAGGUAACGGCUUACCAAGGCAACGAUGCGUAGCCGACCUGAGAGGUUGAUCGGCCACACUGGAACUGAGACACGGUCCAGACUCCUACGGGAGGCAGCAGUAGGGAAUCUUCCGCAAUGGGCGAAAGCUUGACGGAGCAACGCCGCGUGAGUGAUGAAGGUCUUCGGAUCGUAAAACUCUGUUAUUAGGGAAGAACAAAUGUGUAAGUAACUAUGCACGUCUUGACGGUACCUAAUCAGAAAGCCACGGCUAACUACGUG
rnacentral:rRNA from 1 species